rnacentral:tmRNA from 1 species
GGGGAUGUAAAGGUUUCGACAGACUAUGGCAGUCUUAAAUCACAUUCCGACAAGGACAGUCGUUAAAACCAAACUAAAUAUAAUUGCAAACACUCAAUUAGCCGUAGCCUAAGCUACAAAAAAGUUUAAGUAAUUAAACAGCUAGAAACUGAUUCGUCUGGUAGGUUUCUAGUACAAACAGACGUGUGAUGGAUUCUGAUAAGUCACAGAUAACAAUCAGAACAGCGUUAGUGGAUAGUUGUUUAUUCAAGAAACUAAUAAUGUCUAUCAAAUGAAUAAACUAUGAAUGUAAGAAAGUUUAAGAUAUGUAUAGUUUGGACGCGGAUUCGAUUUCCGCCAUUUCCAUCA